rnacentral:rRNA from 1 species
CAGUCGCCGCGGGAAUACGUAGGGUGCAAGCGUUAAUCGGAAUUACUGGGCGUAAAGCGUGCGCAGGCGGUUAUAUAAGACAGAUGUGAAAUCCCCGGGCUCAACCUGGGAACUGCAUUUGUGACUGUAUAGCUAGAGUACGGCAGAGGGGGAUGGAAUUCCGCGUGUAGCAGUGAAAUGCGUAGAUAUGCGGAGGAACACCGAUGGCGAAGGCAAUCCCCUGGGCCUGUACUGACGCUCAUGCACGAAAGCGUGGGGAGCAAACAGGAUUAGAUACCCGCGUAGUCCCUGUCUCUUAUAA